rnacentral:lncRNA from 1 species
ACCGUUCGGUCUGGUGAGUUUUGGUUAGAGAAGGAGGUUUCCUUCUCAACCGUUCGGUCUGGUGAGUUUUGGUUAGAGAAGGAGGUUUCCUUCUUAAACCGUUCGGUCUGGUGAGUUUUGGUUAGAGAAGGAGGUUUCCUUCUUAAACCGUUCGGUCUGGUGGGUCUUCGUCAGAGAAUGAGGUUUCUUCUCAAACCGUUCGGUUUGGUAGGUUCUGGGUCAGGGAAGGUGAUUCCUUCUCAUGACCGUUCGGUUUAAUACUCUGGGUCAGAGAAGGCUAUUCCUUCUCAUGACCGUUCGGUCAAAUAUGGUUAGGGUAAGUUGUUCUUCCGCAUGACCGUUCGGUCAAAUAUACUUUCGGCCAGGGAAGGAUUGUUCCAUCCCGUAACCGUUCGGUCUGGCCAGGGUGUCUGUUAAUGGUACCCAAUUCAAUCCCAAUGGUUCGGCCACUACUACUAGUGUUCAGUUUAUUGCUUAGAGCUUGUGGUUGGUUGGUUUAUCUGAUUGUUUGUGGCAAAUUAAGGUGUGUAUGAUUUAUAUGACUGGGAAAAGUAUCAAGUAAUUGGAUUGGUUGGUUUCGGUUGCGAAAUUAAGAUCUCUCGGUGGGAUCAAUUAGUGUAUUGAAUGUAUGUAAGAGGCUUCCACUAUGGGGGGUUAUCCCUAACACUCUAACGGUCUUUCAUUCUCACUUAGAGAGGAUUGACGCGUGUGGUGAGAGUAGUGGGAGGUCCUAGGGUAGGCGCUUUUACUGUAGGCCUAUACUGCGGUAACAGACCAGCCUUGUGUAUGGUCGGGUGGAACCCCUCGGCAAUGGCUUUGCAAAGCAGUAGGGCCAUCACAAGUGCACAACCCGCCCCAGCUCUAUNNNNNNNNNNNNNNNNNNNNNNNNNNNNNNNNNNNNNNNNNNNNNNNNNNUGUAUGAACGUUCUUGCAAUGAAUUGUAUAAUUGUUUGAGACCUAGCUCACCCUUGCACUUGCAUGUUUGUAUGUGUUUGCCUUCCCCCUUGCGAUGAUCAUCCAAUCCUUUGGAUGUGAGCAG